UUGGACCAGGACCAGGAGUUGUGAAUCUCGAGUACAAUGUAAGCAUUGAUGAACUUGAAUUCGGAUAGGUCAACCUGUCAAAAUGAACCACAACUUAAAUGGUCAAUAAUGGGUUGGUUUGCUUGAAUGAGAUUUUCAGGGGAAACAAGUCAUAGCAACAAUUCAAAACGUCAUGGGUGUUAUUGAAGGAGUGGAGGAGCCUGAUCGGUAAAUUCAGAAACAUAUAUGGACAUUGCUGCAUAUGAAUUACUCACAUUUGUGUUGGAUAUUCACUAUUAUUAUUAGGACUUAACCUAAUUCACCAAUGAAUAUAGCAAUCGACUAAGCAAACACUAUGACUAGCCAAUGAUAAGAAGACUUUGGAAUAAUUAAGAGCACUUGUUUUAUAAUGAUAUCCUAUUGCUAGGUUCGUCAUUCUGGGCAAUCAUCGUGAUGCAUGGACAUUUGGAGCUGUUGAUCCCAACAGUGGUACUGCAGCACUGCUAGAGGUGAUUAUAAUCCCAUUACAUCCCACACUUUCUACUUGGCAAAGCUAAAAGCAGAGAUUUCACCCUCGGGACAAAUUGUGCAUUUCAGCUGAAUUCCCCAUCAUGCAGGUUGCACAAAGACUCCAGAAACUACAAAGAAGUGGUUGGAAACCACGACGAACAAUUAUUUUGUGCAAUUGGGAUGCUGAGGAGUAUGGCUUGGUCUGUCUUGCCUGGUUAUCUCUCGUAUGCAUCUAUCUUUAUUGCCUCUUUCUGAACUGAAAUAUAAGCAGACUAGUACUUCCAGACAGGAUCGACAGAAUGGGUAGAAGAAAACAGAGACUUGUUGGCUUCAAGGGCG
rnacentral:lncRNA from 1 species